rnacentral:rRNA from 1 species
GACGAACCGUGCGAACGUUGUUCGGAUUCACUGGGCUUAAAGGGCGCGUAGGCGGGUGACCAAGUCCGGGGUGAAAUCUUCCGGCCUAACCGGAAAAGUGCCUUGGAUACUGGUCGCCUGGAGGGAGGUAGGGGCACGCGGAACUCCAGGUGGAGCGGUGAAAUGCGUAGAUAUCUGGAGGAACGCCGGUGGCGAAAGCGGCGUGCUGGACCUCUUCUGACGCUGAGGCGCGAAAGCCAGGGGAGCAAACGGG